UCGGAUCCAUAUGUUAGUUUACUUUAAAUAUAAACCACACAACACCCGGCAAUAUGUUAUAUUUGGUAGAAAUUUGUCUUUUAAUUUAUGUAUAAUUCAACACAUAUAUCCAUUUUAAAAGAAUCAAAUACUCGAUAAAAAAAACACAUUAAUAUUAAUAUAUUGUGGCAUAUAAUUUCAUCAACACUAAAAACUGCAACAGCAACUUGCAUGAUCUCAUUGUUUCAGACCAAUUCCAUUAUAUUUGGUUGCCUGUAAUAGCCAUUCCAUUCCAGGCUAAUUCGGCGUGCGACAGUGAAACUGUAGUUUGGUUCAUGGAAUGGCCAUUCGACCGAGUGGGUUUUUAUUCCUCAAAUAUUUUUUCCCCAAAAACCAAAAAGAUCACAUAUGACAUUACCAAACCUACAGAAAAUAACACAAAACCCAUAUAAGCUUGAAAAGCUAAAAACGUUUUGCCAAAAAAAGAACGGAGGAGAGAGAAAAUACCUUGUGCUUUGGUUUAAGAGACUUGCAUGGGUUUUUUGACCUUAAAAUUUAUGAAGGGAGAAGAGAAGAAUGGAGAGAGAAACACAUCUCCAACCCAGCUCAAAGAAAAACGAUGGCAAAAAGGAUUCCUAAAUUAUUUUUGACUAAUUUAAAGUGUAGAUCUACGAUUACAUGGGCUGAUUCAGAGAAAAUUAAUUAGAGAAACAGAGAGAAGGGAUUAAGAUCGUUCUCCAAAGGAUUUUUCUUAUGAACAAAGACAUCGAUGGACGGUGGCAGGCGGCAGCUGUUACGGAGGAGGACUGUCGGAUUCUGGAAAGGAUGCACUUUCUUACGAGUGUUCAUGUUUUUAAUACAGAGAGACGGAGAGAACUUGGGGCGUGGGGGUAAUUAGAGAGAAAAAGAACGUUAAAAAUGAUUAAAACAAAGAAAAAAAAAUCACUACAUUAAAUAUAUGUUUAAUAAAUCGAACACAACUAUUUAUAUAACUG
rnacentral:lncRNA from 1 species